CCUACGGGAGGCAGCAGUGGGGAAUUUUGGACAAUGGGCGCAAGCCUGAUCCAGCAAUGCCGCGUGAGUGAAGAAGGCCUUCGGGUUGUAAAGCUCUUUUGUCAGGGAAGAAACGGCUGAGGUUAAUACCUUCGGCUAAUGACGGUACCUGAAGAAUAAGCACCGGCUAACUACGUGCCAGCAGCCGCGGUAAUACGUAGGGUGCAAGCGUUAAUCGGAAUUACUGGGCGUAAAGCGUGCGCAGGCGGUUUUGUAAGUCUGACGUGAAAUCCCCGGGCUCAACCUGGGAAUUGCGUUGGAGACUGCAAGGCUGGAGUCUGGCAGAGGGGGGUAGAAUUCCACGUGUAGCAGUGAAAUGCGUAGAGAUGUGGAGGAACACCGAUGGCGAAGGCAGCCCCCUGGGUCAAGACUGACGCUCAUGCACGAAAGCGUGGGGAGCAAACAGGAUUAGAUACCCUGGUAGUCCACGCCCUAAACGAUGUCUACUAGUUGUCGGGUCUUAAUUGACUUGGUAACGCAGCUAACGCGUGAAGUAGACCGCCUGGGGAGUACGGUCGCAAGAUUAAAACUCAAAGAGUAAGUUGGCGNGNGAGAGCGACGACGACGACGAGGAGGAGGAG
rnacentral:rRNA from 1 species